CCUUACCCGCUGAACUUAAGCAUAUCAUUAAGCGGAGGAAAAGAAACUAACUAGGAUUCCCUCAGUACGGGCGACGGAAGCGGGAAAAGCCCAAAAUGGAAAUCUCCAGGCGAAAGGCUGGCGAAUUGUAAUCUGAAGAUAGUGAGCCUAACCGGGAGAGACGCAGAAGUGUCCACGAGAGGACCGCCAAAGAGGGUGAGAGCCCCGUAUGUGGUGUCUAGACCGACCUGGCUGGCAGUCAAAGAGUCGUGUACUCUGAUACGAGUGCACUAAGCGGGAGAUAAACUUCUUCUAAGGCUAAAUAAGUGUAGGAAACCGAUAGCGAACAAGUACUGUGAAGGAAAGAUGAAAAGCACUUUGAAAAGAGAGUUAAAAGACUUGAAAUCGUUGAGGCGGAAGCGGUAGAAAUGAAUUCUACGGCGUCGCUCAGAGGUGCGGAGACAAACAUCCGAGCUGGACAGCGGCGAAGUGAGGCAAGAUGGAGUCGAAUGAUGCCAGAGGCGGGGCAGAGUGGGAAGCAAAGCUUUACUCUGUGCAGGCUGGGUGUCAAACGGCUCGAGGGGCUUAGUGCGAUCUUGUCAAAAUGGUUUUUACCGACCCGUCUUGAAACACGGACCAAGGAGUCUAAGACUAACGCGAGUAUGGUGGUGGAGAAACCAACAUGCGAAAUGAAAGUAAAUGAUGCCAAGCGAAAGCAGCAGCAUCGACCGACCAUGAUCCAAUGGAGAAAGGUUUGAGUAAGAGCGUUAUUCUUAGGACCCGAAAGAUGGUGAACUAUGCCUGUGUAGACUGAAGUCAGGGGAAACUCUGAUGGAAGGUCGUCGCGAUACUAACGUGCAAAUUGUUCGUCUGACAUGGGUAUAGGGGCGAAAGACUAAUCGAACCAUCUAGUAGCUGGUUCCCUCCGAAGUUUCCCUCAGGA
rnacentral:rRNA from 1 species